rnacentral:rRNA from 1 species
GGUUAAGCGACUAAGCGUACACGGUGGAUGCCCUGGCAGUCAGAGGCGAUGAAGGACGUGCUAAUCUGCGAAAAGCGUCGGUAAGGUGAUAUGAACCGUUAUAACCGGCGAUGUCCGAAUGGGGAAACCCAGUGYRAUUCGUYRCACUAUCGUUAACUGAAUACAUAGGUUAACGAGGCGAACCGGGGGAACUGAAACAUCUAAGUACCCCGAGGAAAAGAAAUCAACCGAGAUUCCCCCAGUAGCGGCGAGCGAACGGGGAGCAGCCCAGAGUCUGAAUCAGCUUGUGUGUUAGUGGAACGGUCUGGAAAGUCCGACGGUACAGGGUGAUAGUCCCGUACACCAAAAUGCACAGGYUGUGAACUCGAAGAGUAGGGCGGGACACGUGGUAUCCUGUCUGAAUAUGGGGGGACCAUCCUCCAAGGCUAAAUACUCCUGACUGACCGAUAGUGAACCAGUACCGUGAGGGAAAGGCGAAAAGAACCCCGGCGAGGGGAGUGAAAAAGAACCUGAAACCGUGUACGUACAAGCAGUGGGAGCACCUUCGGGUGUGACUGCGUACCUUUUGUAUAAUGGGUCAGCGACUUAUAUUCUGUAGCAAGGUUAACCGUAUAGGGGAGCCGCAGGGAAACCGAGUCUUAACUGGGCGUUAAGUUGCAGGGUAUAGACCCGAAACCCGGUGAUCUAGCCAUGGGCAGGUUGAAGGUUGGGUAACACUAACUGGAGGACCGAACCGACUAAUGUUGAAAAAUUAGCGGAUGACUUGUGGCUGGGGGUGAAAGGCCAAUCAAACCGGGAGAUAGCUGGUUCUCCCCGAAAGCUAUUUAGGUAGCGCCUCGUGAACUCAUCUUCGGGGGUAGAGCACUGUUUCGGCUAGGGGGUCAUCCCGACUUACCAACCC